GCCACAAAGAUCCUGUUAUCGUCUGAACUCUUUGGAGGAAAACCUCUUUGUGACAGACCUCUCCUGGAAAAACCAUCCACGGUCGUCCUCAGCAGUUCCGCUGUCUCCAGCCAUCACCUACCUGGCUGGUCACCACUCGAUGUGGUUUACAUCAAGAUCUCCUACUGCCACCCACCUUAACUUGAAAACACUCUCUGGAACAUUAAGCUGGUCUUGUUUCUAGAUAAACAUUUAUUUGAUUUCUUACUUUUUCUGUGUCCUGAGUCUGCAUGUGGGUCAAAAGGCUUUCUAGUACCAUGGCACCGUUCUGGCAGAACAGCAAACAGUCCACCUGUCAAUUGGAUCAUCUUUCAGUUCCCAUUAAAUGUUCCUUACAUUUCUUAACAUGGGUGUUAUCCUGAGGCCAGGUUUCUGAGAGAUGAGGUGGAGAUAUUGCCACAUUUACCCUAUUUUAGCCUACUGUAUACAGUGAUAGUUAGAUGUGCAUGCUGUCUGUCGAUCAAAUUUCUCUUCUGGCUUUCUUUGCUCUUGUUCGAUGUCGAUUAAGUUGUCAUUUGUAGAGGUUGUUUGGUCUAGCUGUCUGCUGGAUGACAAGAGAUGGUGAGAAAGUCUGCAGCACUUCAUGAAAUCCCUCAGUUUCCUUUGCAGAAACUUAUGUUUUAACAAAAACUACAAGCAAGAACAAAAUAUCUGUAAGGAGACAAAUGAUUAAUCACAGCCCUGUAUAUAAUUUCACAUAUUUCUGCUUGACCGCCUAUUUGUUUGUAACCAACAAAACAUGUUAUUAAGGUUUAAGUUUAUAUGUUACUUCUGCACGUAUUUGACAUAUAUUUUGUUCUUGAUUUUCUUUAAAACACACAUGCAACCUAUCCUUUUGAAAGGCUGUCAGUUUUGUCAGGAAAAUUGCUCUCAUCUUUGCAUAGUUCUGUUUUGUCGUGUUGAAAGCCUGUUCUGCUCCAAUCACUGCAGUUCCUUUCACUAAAAACUGGGAUUUCUCCUGUGGCACUCUGUCCCCAGAGACAUCUGCCUCGCUGACACUAAAAGUGACCUUCACACUCCCCCCUAUUGAAACUGCAUAUGGCAAGAAAUAACAACAGCAGAGUGUGGCCAGCUGUCCUGUUCAGAGUGACAAUGAUCUAUGUGGUGAUCAAGCUGUUAAUGACUUCUUUGGACCUUAGCCAGGAUGUGCUGUCCAUAUCUAUGUUGAUGGAAAAUUCUCCUGCCUUUAAAAAGUCUUCAUACGGUCAAUGUGUUAAACAAGUUGUCCAGCAUGAAUGAUCACGUUGAUAAAAGCUCCAUAAAAAUCUUUAAUAGGUCAAAUAAAUUCAGGGAACAAUACGGGAGUACACCUAGAUAGUCGAGGAUGUUGUAAAUGUAUAAUAAUAAUCUCUGAGAUGUCUGCUGUUCAUUGGCAGAAAGGGCAAAACAGUCUCAUUGAGGCUGUGUAAUAUGAAAAAGUAAUUUUUUGUAUUUCUAAAACUCUGCCUUAAAUACUUCUGUUUCCAGAACUCUGAAAAAGAUAAAGAGAAUAACUAUUUA